rnacentral:rRNA from 1 species
UACGGAGGGGGCAAGCGUUGUUCGGAUUUACUGGGCGUAAAGGGCGCGUAGGCGGCGUGACAAGUCACUUGUGAAAUCUCCGGGCUUAACCCGGAGCGGCCAAGUGAUACUGUCGUGCUAGAGUGCGGAAGGGGCUACUGGAAUUCUCGGUGUAGCGGUGAAAUGCGUAGAUAUCGAGAGGAACACCUGUGGCGAAAGCGGCGCACUGGACCACAACUGACGCUGAGGCGCGAAAGCUAGGGGAGCAAACAGG